AUGAAUCCUGUUGAGCUGACCCCAUUGACCUUGAUUCUAUUGUCCGAUCCCCAUUCAGAUCUCUCCACGUUUCUGACCAGAGAGCACCUCUCCGCUUUGAAUCGCUACAUCAGAAUGAAAGACGUGCUGCAUCUAGAAACCAACUGUAACGAGGAGGAGGAGGAGGAGGAGGAGGAGGAGGAGGAGGAGGAAGAGGAGGAAGAAGAGAACGAAACUGGGGAGAAGGUCUGGAGGACAUCUCUUACCGAUGACGACAUGUGGUGGACGGGCAACAUGGUCGACAAAGAAUUCCCUGGCAAUGCAAGACCCUUGAAGCGCGAGGGAUUCCCUGAUCUGAACCGAGCUAUUCUGUUCUACCUGUGCUACAUGAGCGGAUUUGGUUUCCCAACCAUUGUGUCCUACCUGCUUCUACCGAUCAACAUUCCCUACUUCUACUACCGCAACAAGGAGACGGUGGUGUGGCUCUCCUGGGCGAUGCUGAGUGCUCUACAGUUGACCUUGUUUGUGCUCCAAAUGCUGUUCUUUACCGUCCAGAAGAAUGUUAAGGAAAGGUGAGGAAUCUUUCCUGUCGGACUCAUCUUUGUUGCAUUUUUUUGUACAUCCAAGCAUUCGAGAUUAUUGUUUUUAUCUUUCAACCUUUGCUUUUAUCUCUUGACGACGAUGGACCUUUUAUCUGAUUGGAUGUGAAUGUCAGGAACGCCUCAAGUACAUUCCAAAUGAUACAUUGUUUCUUAAAUGGUCAAUACACCCUGUGUAACGUAUGUCUGUGUUUGUGACUGUGUGUGUGUGUGUUUCAGAUUACUACCCGUUUUCACAGAGCUGCAGGGGCUGAACGUCCAAGCCGAAUACAAGAGCCCCAGGCCGAAUGAGAGAGGGGACUGGUAUUCGACGCUGGGACUGCACUUCUUACACUCGACCCAGACUGAGGCGGUCAGCACCGAGUCCACCUCCUCCGUGGCUGACCAGGUCUCCUCCUCCGUAUGGCUCCAUCUGGAGUGUGAGAAGGAGGACGCGGAGCUGGUCAACGUACACAGGCGCUUCGCACGCGAGCACUCCAUCAUGGGAUAAGAACUCGCCCGAGACCGCCACCCUCGGGGGGCAGAAUAUUACCUCGGAGGCUUGGUUGGAAGUUUGGAUGCGUUUGUGAAGAUACGUAGGCUACUUCACAAAGUUUGAAGAGUUGUCAGUAAAGGAAGUGCAGGAGCAUUAGAGAUUAUCUUUCAGCUUGUGUGAUUAUACAUUACAUUUGACUUUUGUAUAAAAUAUCAUAUAUAUAUUUAAGCAAUAGAUCACGCCAGGCUGUGGUAUGUGCUCAUUAUACCACUGUUAAGGGGCGUUGUCCGGCCCCGACGCGCAGCGGAGGGCCGGCGACCCCCUUCACAGUGGUAUAAUGAGCACAUGCCACUGACUGAAGUGAUCUAUUGCUUUUAUACAACGGUUACUGUUAUGGCGAAACGAAAGUCAUAGACACACUACAUUUAAAGUCAAAGUAGCCGUAUUCUUAAAGAAUACAAAAAAGUAGUCCCUCCUGGCUGCUGCGAUGCAUCGACGGUCGCUAUGCAACACACUUUAGCGUCCCUCCGAGAGAAGGCUCCGAUAGAGCGGUUCGCCGGCAAUUUAUCCUAUGGAGCAGUUCACUCGCCGUGUGCCUAAGAUUUCGUUAGUCUCUCCAUCGCCUUGCUCACUCCCGGAGUAACAACAUUUACACCCACUCCAUCAUCCAACAUAUGUUUUACUUUGUAACUGUUUCUACUUCCAGGCGCGGAGUGAUAUGCAAACUUUCACAAAUUGAUCGGGCGUCAUAGCAGUUAUGUAUACGCUCAUUAUACAACAGUUGGGAACCAAUCAGAUCGCUGGAUUUAGGUCCCCCGUUGUAUAAAUGUAUAUAUAUCACUUAUAAAAAUAAUUUCUUGAAUAUUCUGUUGUUGAAGAAUGUUUGAAAUGAGGUUUGAUUUAUUAACACGUGAUUGAUUAAUGAGAUGAUUUACCUAAUCCCUUGAACCAUUGACCUGCGCUUUAACGUCAUCGAAUGAAUAAAUGCUUCUUUACAGAAAUGUUUUGAAUAUCAUAACGUUUGAUUUGCAUCUAAACAAACCCUAGCAUGCUGCUGUUUGAUGACACACAUUUCGGUUUGGUUUUGUAACAACUUUUCGUUAUAAAAGAGGCAUACAGAAUUAAGGAACACUUCUUCUUUCUAUCUCUGCUCAGUCAUCGGAUCAGUGGUCAGUUUCCAGAAGAAGACUUCAAAGAAAGCUCGGCACUUUAGUUGCAAGCUCACAUUCUAAAGGGCAAGGCGCUGCGCAAUUUUUCUUAGUGUACCUAAUUUAAUCUUCACAUUGCUGGGGCCAUCCGGUCCUGUGACGCUCCACAACACUACACUCUUUCACCUCCCCCCACUCCCUCACAGCGUUAGGCCCUGACUUAGAAGGGCCUCGGAGCCCGGAGUGCACUGAGGCUGUUCAUUGUCAUCUUUGGAUCGAUGGGACAUCAGACUAUGUAG
ensembl:lncRNA